GUCUCACAGGAAGUUUGAGCACCCUAGACAUGGGUCCCUUGGGUUCCUUCCAAGGAAGCGAGCUUCUCGUCACAGGGGAAAAGUGAAGGCUUUCCCCAAGGAUGACCCUACCAAGCCAUGCAAGCUUACUGCCUUUUUGGGUUAUAAGGCUGGCAUGACACACAUUGUUAGGGAGGUCGAGAAACCUGGGUCAAGUAAGGAACUUUUGUUAGAAUCCAAAUAUUUAAAUUUUGUAAACCGGAUCUUGCAUUUCCUAAUUAAUUACAAUAAGUUUCAAUGAUAUUACUUGCAUGAGAUUUGUUGUGUGAGAUUUUAGCAAGAAAAUGGUGUUUUUGGUAUAACUUGCUAUUUUUUUUUACAAUUGCUUUUCUUUAGAGCUUCACAAGAAGGAGACCUGCGAGGCUGUUACCAUAGUUGAGACACCUCCAAUGGUCAUUGUUGGAGUUGUGGGUUAUGUGAAGACACCACGUGGUCUUCGCACUCUGAACACUGUCUGGGCUCAGCAUCUUAGUGAGGAGGUGAGAAGGAGAUUCUAUAAGAACUGGUGCAAGUCCAAGAAGAAGGCUUUCACAAAGUACUCUAAACAGUACGAGACUGACGAUGGGAAGAAAAGUAUCCAAGCCCAGCUUGAGAAGAUAAAGAAAUAUGCACAUGUUGUUCGUGUUUUGGCCCACACUCAGAUCAGGAAAAUGAAGGGAUUGAAGCAGAAGAAAGCUCAUCUGAUGGAGAUCCAGGUCAAUGGUGGCACUAUUGCUCAGAAGGUGGACUUUGCCUAUGGCUUUUUUGAGAAGCAAAUCCCAAUUGAUGCUGUUUUCCAGAAGGAUGAAAUGAUUGACAUCAUUGGGGUCACCAAGGGUAAAGGUUAUGAAGGUGUUGUCACUCGUUGGGGUGUUACCCGUCUUCCUCGCAAGACCCACAGGGGUCUCCGCAAGGUGGCCUGUAUUGGUGCCUGGCAUCCUGCAAGAGUCUCAUUUACUGUUGCCAGGGCUGGACAAAAUGGAUAUCACCAUCGUACUGAAAUGAACAAGAAAAUUUACAAGCUUGGCAAAGCUGGCCAAGAAUCCCACACUGCAAUAACUGAGUAUGACAGGACUGAGAAAGAUAUCACUCCAAUGGGUGGUUUCCCUCACUAUGGUGUGGUGAAGGAUGACUAUAUCAUGAUCAAGGGAUGCUGUGUUGGACCUAAGAAGAGGGUGGUUACACUUCGCCGGUCUCUGCUCACCCAAACAUCUCGUGUUGCUCUUGAGGAAAUUAAACUCAAGUUCAUUGACACCUCAUCAAAGUUUGGACAUGGCCGCUUCCAGACAACACAGGAGAAACAGAAGUUCUUUGGACGUCUGAAGGCAUAAUUAUGCAUAUCAAUAUCAGAUUUCAGUUAUCAUAGUAAAAUUAGUUGUUUAUGAUUAUUAUGCAAUUUUUGCUUAAGACAACUAUGAGCUGGUUCUUCAGUUUGAAUAUUUGAAGUGUUAAAGAGUUGAUUUGUGUUGAAUGUUUUGAUUCAGUGGAAUUACUUUCAAUUUUGAGUUGCCAUAAUAUAUGAUUUUUGAACUUUUGUGGUGUGCCUUAUUAUAGUCGACAUGUGCUUUUCUGUUCACUAUAUUAUGCCGUAUGAAAUUAUGCUCUCAAACAUGGCAUUGAUGUUUGCAACAUAUUCUCUGUUUGCAAGAUAUCCUCUGGUGUUUAUUAUUUAU
rnacentral:misc_RNA from 1 species